UUUAUUCUUCAUAUUCUUUUCUCCAUGUGCCUAGGACACAGUUGCCAAAGAAAACUCAAGAGAUGCUACCCUGACAAGCCAGGAAGAGAAGAGCUGCCCACUCCUCGGUGCUCUUUGGUGAGAAAAUGACAGGAUCGUCCUCACUGGGCAGGGUGUCAAUGCAAAAGGUGCUGUGCAGUGAUGAAAAAUGGGUUGGACCGAGAUGGUCCUGGGCCUAAUGGCUGGUGCUGUUCUGUCACCUCUGGAAGCCCAAUUGACCACCUCCCACCUUCUUCCUCCCCUGCACGAUUUGGGAUAAAAAUAGGUACAACCUCCUGAGGUGUGUGCUCGGAUCACCUGAGAUAGGACUUAGCCCAGAGCUGGGCUAUUGGUCAGUAGUGAAUUGUAGCCACCACUGCUAAUAUCAUCAUGGUUCGAAUCAUCACUGCCAGUAGCAGAGGGCAAGGCUAGCCAAUCUGUGAAGAGCACUGGCUCCCACCUCUUUAUGCCUCAGUUUCCUCAUGUUUAAAUUAGACACAAAUGGUACCAAACUCAUAGGGUAACUGCGGGGUUCGGUGGGUUCAUGCACAUAAUGUGCUUAGAGCAGUGCCUGGCACACAGAGCUGUAGGUGGAUUGGUUAGUAUUACUUCCUAAAAGGGUUUUUCCUCAUUUCCUCAUGGACCAACCCCAGUCCCUGGAUUUCUUCCUCUCACUGUAUCUUCCUUUCACUGGAUAGCUUCCUCUCCCUGAAUACCUUCUCUGGUCCCUGUUUUCCAUUGCAAGUGUCCUUCUGGUAUCUCCCCAACUUGUAAAUGGCCUCUGGCUUUCCAGUCUCAUUGGACAGUCUGUCUGCGCCUACAAAAGUCAAGGAACUAAAACCACCAGAGAGUCCUUUAAUACCCUGGGGAAGGAGGAGAGACCCGGACCCAUCCUUUGGGAUGGGUCCCUGCAAGAUCCAGCUCAUAACAUUUCCGGCUGAAUGUUUUGGGCAAGAUGAAAGCAAUUCCAGCAAGUAUCAAGGGUUCAACUGAUCAGCCUCCAGCAUAAAAUUCCAUUUCUUCCUUAGAGUUCUAGGCAUGGCAAAUCAGUGGCUUAAGGGGGUGAACGUUGGUGAAAUCCAAAGAACCAGCAAAAAGAAGGUGGGACGACUGAUUACCUUCCCAUCUUGCUUCUGCUGAUUGCAUUAUCAUUUAUCACAGCUCAGCAGGAAAAAGCUAGGAGAAGCAUCCUAUGAUCCUGGGUUGAAUAAAUAUCCCACUAUCAGUGCUGGAAAUACAAGCCUGAUUCAGCCAAAUCUUAAAUGCAUUUGCAUCUAAUCCCUUCAUAAUCCUUCCUAUGGCAUAGUAUAAAAGCUGAACAAGAUACUCCAGCCUCCCCAGGGUGCACAGGACAGGGACACUCCUGUCCAAACGUUGGGAUGUAAUUAUCUAAGGCUGGGUGCUCCUCCGAGAAUUUGCAGCCCCUGCACUCGUACUAAUGACAACGUUCCUGUUCCAGAUAAUUUUGUGUACUUACAGACACACACACAUACACAGAUGGACAUCAGGAGGCUAAACUUCAGUCAGAAGGACCAAGACCACAGCCAUCCCGCCAAAUAACUGAGGAAGCCGGAAAAGCUAUGACGUUUUCCCCUUGCGAGGCACAAGCUUUCCCCCCAGUGCAGAUGGGAGGACUUUGGAGGUUAUAUCCGUUCAUCUAUUUAUUCAGCAAAUUCAGAGUCGGUCAUUGUUAUAAGCAUUAAGGGAUACAAGAGUAAUAAAAGAUUUACUAAGAGAGACAGAUCUUAAUCAAAUCAUUACUCUCAUAGUUAAUUAAAGUUUUCAUAAACGAUACAAAAGGCAGACAGGUGGCUGUAAGAGUGUAUAGCAGGAGGACUUAGCAUAGCCUGGGAUCGGGGGUAGUCAGGGAAGGCUUCCCUGAGGAAGAAAUAUUUCCCUCAGAUAUGAAGGAUGAUCAGGUAUCUGUCCAACGACGAGUGGGACUAGGGGUGAGGGCUGGAGCGAGCAGCUCAGAAAGUGAGAGCGACGAGUGCAGAGGCCUUGGGGAGAGGAGUUACCUGCCAGAUUUGAGGAACCAGAUCGGACUAGAGAGAAGUCUGGUUUUGUGCUUGAAAACUUAUUUGUUUUUGUUUAGCUCGGAGGAAGACAAAGAUCAUCAGCCCCAGAGCCCUGGGGAGGAAGGUCCGUUGGAGGGGGUAGUCAGUGAGUCAACGCACUGAUCCUGACUCUGAUCCUGACCCAUAAUUCAGACCAGGGUAGGAGCUGCUACAGCUCCAGAGGAAUGGGUGAGACAGUCCUAGGAAGAGAUCUCUGAACCCCUGAGACUGAGCAAGGCUGGUCCACAGAGCAGUCCCCACCAGUAGACCCUUAUUCAAACACACCUCUCCCCCAAUCUUGCCUCACCACUGCCUUUGCUACAGAAAGAAAUGUGUUCCUAUUUCAUCAAGGACCCAUCUUCCAGAACCAACUUGAAAUCUAGAAGACCGCAUAGCUCCCAGCAUUUUUCGGGUUUCAUGUCUUUAUUAAUCCUUAUCCCAGGGACACUGUAUAUAGCACUUAAGAGCUUGGGUUCUAUAGUUAGACCUCAGAGGUCUGAAUCCUGACAUUGUCAUUUACUAGCUAUGUAACCUCAGGCAAGUCUCUUAACCUUUCUGUGUCCUCAUCUAUAAAAUGAAGAUGACAAUUUACUCACCUGAUAGGGUUGCUUAUAAAAAUUAAAUGAAACAAUGUAGGUAAACAUUAGGACAAUAGGUGGGAUUCCUCGAUAAAUGGAAGUUGCAUUAUUAUUAUUAAUUAUUAUCAUUAAUAUCACCAUCAGAGCAACCAUGUAAUACAUGUCCACAAUAUUCCAGAAACUGAGCUAAGUGUUUCACAUACCUUAAUUUGAAUGCCCCCACAGUUUGGCACAAUGAUCCCAAUUUUCUAAAUGAGGAAACUGAGGCUCCGAGGAAUUCAGUGACACAGCUAUUAAGUGACAAUAAAGAUUCACACUCAGGCUCUAAAAGCAGUCCACUCUCUACAUUUCUAUCCCAAGUUGGCCACUUCUCAUCAAUGUGCUGUAAAAUCCUGUUAAUUACAACUAAUGAGAAUGAGGUUCUAUACACUACCUGUUCAUUGAUUUGCAGAUUUUUAAUAUCAUUCCUUGCCCCAGGGGAACUCUCCAGGGGGCCAUCAUUACCAUACAAUUCUUUGGGGGAAACGAAACAACAGCUGGCCCUGCCAAUCACCAUGGCAACACUCCUGUAAGUACAUAGAAUCACAUCAACGGAAAAAAUCUAUACAUACGUGUAUGUUCUAUAUUUGCCCUUAAACGCUACAUUAUACAUUGACUCGCUGAUGACACCAUCAGGGCUCAGGUAGAGGCAUUUUCAAUCCGCUCCAAAUCUCUCCCCCUUCUAGGAUGCUUCCAAGACCCCAUCCAGCGGGCACAGGCAGGGAGAGACGUUGCUAGGGAAAAGGGAUCAUUGCCAAGUUCUGGCCCACAGCAGCAUAUGCUUCACGGUGACAAUGUAAUCCCCAUGCGCCAAGCCAAGAGAUCUUGUGUGGUGACCUGGGUGUUUCUCCACGGCUCUUUGUGAGACAACAGCCAUCAAGGCUUGGAGUCUUUGACAUGUUGGAAGUUCCAGAUCUCUGUAACACAGUGGGAUCAAAGCCUUGAAGCUCUUCUGCGUACGUCACCAUCAUGAGCCAAGGAGAGACCUUCGAAAAAGACAACAGAUAGCUCCCUUUCACACGCACCAUGUUAGCACAGUACUUGGUGUCCACACGCCAUGAUCAUAAGGCCAGAAUCAUCUCGAAGAUUGAAGAUGGCAAAUUCUUUGACACACUGCCCAUCCAGAGGCGAAGUCUACGUCCCAUCCCCUUGAAUCUGAGUGGGCUCUAUUUCCACUCUGAUAGAAUAUGGCAGAAGUGACACUGUGCCGGUUCCCAAAGCCAGGCCUUAUGAAGCUGGCAGUUCCCGUCCUCUGUCAUUCGGAACACUGUCUCUGGGAGCAUCAGACUUCAAACCCUCAAGCCACUGAUGCAGCCCGAUGUAGGUGCUCCAGCUCAGAGUUCCACCUGAGCCCAGCCUUCGAGGCAUCUCUCCAGCCAAGGCCCCGUACGUUGGGUGAAACCAUCUUCUACCCUCCAGGUCAACUCAUCGCUGGUUGAAUCCCACAAGUGACCUUACUCCACACGAUGCCAUGUGGAGCAGAAGAAUCACUCAACUGAGCCCUGCCCGAGUUCCUAACCCACAAAAUUAUAAAUUAUAAUAAAAUGGUUGUUAUUUUAA